GACGUAGGGCGCGAGCGUUGUCCGGAUUUAUUGGGCGUAAAGAGCUCGUAGGCGGUCUGUCGCGUCUGCUGUGAAAACCUGGGGCUUAACCCCCGAGCCUGCAGUGGAUACGGGCAGACUAGAGGUAGGUAGGGGAGAAUGGAAUUCCCGGUGUAGCGGUGAAAUGCGCAGAUAUCGGGAGGAACACCGGUGGCGAAGGCGGUUCUCUGGGCCUUACCUGACGCUGAGGAGCGAAAGCGUGGGGAGCGAACAGG
rnacentral:rRNA from 1 species